GUGGGGAAUAUUGCGCAAUGGGCGAAAGCCUGACGCAGCGACGCCGCGUGGGUGAUGAAGGCCUUCGGGUCGUAAAGCCCUGUCGGGAGGGAAGAAAUCUCAUCGACCUAACACGUCGGUGACUUGACGGUACCUCCUAAGGAAGCACCGGCUAACUCCGUGCCAGCAGCCGCGGUAAUACGGAGGGUGCAAGCGUUGUUCGGAAUUACUGGGCGUAAAGCGCGUGUAGGCGGCCUCUUGAGUUCGGUGUGAAAGCCCGGGGCUCACCCCCGGAAGGGCACCGGAUACUGGGAGGCUCGAGUACCGGAGAGGAGGGUGGAAUUCCUGGUGUAGCGGUGAAAUGCGUAGAUAUCAGGAGGAACACCGGUGGCGAAGGCGGCCCUCUGGACGGAUACUGACGCUGAGACGCGAAAGCGUGGGGAGCAAACAGGAUUAGAAACCCCAGUAGUCC
rnacentral:rRNA from 1 species